rnacentral:rRNA from 1 species
AGUCACUGACAUUAGAUACCCGGUAGUCCCAGCCGUAAACAAUGUGCGUUAGGUGUGUCGGUAACCACGCGUUACUGAUGCGCCGAAGAGAAAUCGUGAAACGCACCACCUGGGAAGUACGGUCGCAAGGCUGAAACUUAAAGGAAUUGGCGGGGAGCACCACAACAGGUGGAGCCUGCGGUUUAAUUGGAUUCAACGCCGGACAUCUCACCGGAUAAGACAGCUGAAUGAUUGUCAAUCUGAAGGUUUUACAUGACUAGCUG